rnacentral:rRNA from 1 species
CCCUUAGAUGUUCUGGGCCGCACGCGCGCUACACUGAUGCAUUCAACGAGCCUAUCCUUGACCGACAGGUCCGGGUAAUCUUUGAAUCUGCAUCGUGACGGGGAUAGAUUAUUGCAAUUAUUAAUCUUCAACGAGGAAUGCCUAGUAAGCGCAAGUCAUCAGCUUGCGUUGAUUACGUCCCUGCCCUUUGUACACACCGCCCGUCGCUCCUACCGAUUGAAUGGUCCGGUGAAGCGUUUGGACUAUGGUUUUCUGAUGGUCCGCCGUUGGAUUACCGUGGGAAGUUCGUUAAACCUUAUCAUUUAGAGGAAGGAGAAGUCGUAACA